rnacentral:rRNA from 1 species
ACACAUGCAAGUCGAACGAGCGAGAGAGAGCUUGCUUUCUCAAGCGAGUGGCGAACGGGUGAGUAACGCGUGAGGAACCUGCCUCAAAGAGGGGGACAACAGUUGGAAACGACUGCUAAUACCGCAUAAGCCCACGACCCGGCAUCGGGUUGAGGGAAAAGGAGUAAUCCGCUUUGAGAUGGCCUCGCGUCCGAUUAGCUAGUUGGUGAGGUAACGGCUCACCAAGGCGACGAUCGGUAGCCGGACUGAGAGGUUGAACGGCCACAUUGGGACUGAGACACGGCCCAGACUCCUACGGGAGGCAGCAGUGGGGAAUAUUGCACAAUGGGGGAAACCCUGAUGCAGCGACGCCGCGUGGAGGAAGAAGGUCUUCGGAUUGUAAACUCCUGUUGUUGGGGAAGAUAAUGACGGUACCCAACAAGGAAGUGACGGCUAACUACGUGCCAGCAGCCGCGGUAAAACGUAGGUCACAAGCGUUGUCCGGAAUUACUGGGUGUAAAGGGAGCGCAGGCGGGAAGACAAGUUGGAAGUGAAAUCCAUGGGCUCAACCCAUGAACUGCUUUCAAAACUGUUUUUCUUGAGUAGUGCAGAGGUAGGCGGAAUUCCCGGUGUAGCGGUGGAAUGCGUAGAUAUCGGGAGGAACACCAGUGGCGAAGGCGGCCUACUGGGCACCAACUGACGCUGAGGCUCGAAAGUGUGGGUAGCAAACAGGAUUAGAUACCCUGGUAGUCCACACCGUAAACGAUGAUUACUAGGUGUUGGAGGAUUGACCCCUUCAGUGCCGCAGUUAACACAAUAAGUAAUCCACCUGGGG